GGUGGAGGGCGAUCCAGGGCGCUGGGUGGUGGCCGGCGGCGAUCUCCCGCGGUGGGGCGCCAUGGCCGACGUCACGAGCUCGCCGGAGUUCAUAGAAAAACGCGCUACGGUCCACUAUUCACUAAACCGAUAGCAUGGGGAGACAGAGGGGGUCAACGCGAGCUUACCAAGAGGAUUUUGGAGACCCGGGGAAGGCUCGGAUGUGGUCGGCCACGUGAGCUAGCGGACGACGGGGCUCUGCACACGUUCGGCGGUGUUUAGGAAAACCCAGAGAUCGUGAGACGGAGGGAAAAGUGCACCUACGGCUUCGUGAUUCUGUCGCGGUGCUCGGCAAGCGCUCAAUUGCGACGGAAACGCGGCGACCAACGAGAACCUCGGCGGCGGCCAAGUUGAGCUCGGCGAGAUCCGAAAACAAGAUUGGCAACAGAUUGGGGCUCUUCUAGAUGGGGAAAAGAGUGCGGGGGAGAUCCUCGGGCUGAAAAAGGACUCGAUUCAACGAAAUUUGGUAAGAAAUCCCGAAAAGAUCGGGUUGGGGCGCUGCCUUCGUCUGGGACCAGAGUCCGGCUCGCCCACGCUCAAGGAAGAAGAAGGGAGAUGGCGCUGCCAGGUGGGCCGGAUCCGUCAGUGUCUGGAAGUGGAGGGGGAACACCGACGGGCGGGGCCCGGUCGACAGUGGAAAGAAGAGAAGGGGAGGGCGCGGGUGUACUGGGCCGUGCUGCUGUUGCCCUGCUGGGCCGUGGGGAAAGAAAUCGGCCAGGGGAAAAAGGAAAAAGGGAGUGGCGCGUUGGGUUGGGCCGAGGCCGAGGGAAGGGAGGGGCCAGGCCUUAGGGCCAAAGAUGGAGAGGGGAAAGGUUUUUUUUUUUCCUUUUUCUUUUGUUUGUUUCCUUUUUGUUUCUCUUUUUUUUAUUUCAAAGUCUUUUCAAGGCAGUUUCAAAACAAUUCAAAAAUAUUUUGACUUUGCUCAAAAUCACACAAUAAAAUGAAAAUAAAUGCUCCAACAUGAAUGCUCAAACAAGUUGCUAAAUCCUAUAAUAAAUUUUAUUUUAAUGAAAAUAUUAUUUUUCCUAUGUUUCAUAAGCUCAAAAAAAAUUCAUAAUUAAAUCAUUUUCACCUAUUUCAAAAAGGAGUCAAUUUUAGGGUGUUACAAAUCUACCCCCUUAAAAUGAAUCUCGUCCUCGAGAUUCGGAAGAGGCACGGAUCCUUUGAGAGAACAGAGGAUAAAGAUCUUGAUAACUCUUUCAAUUUCACAACUUGUAUACCAAGGCAAACUCAAAUAUUCCAUGGAAUGUAUAUUAUUCAUAAUUGAUCAAAGUCCAUCUUGACUACUCACUUUUUUUUUUGACUUAUACACUCAAAGAUAUGAUAACUUAGCAUGGAUAUGCCUCCUCAGGUAGGAGUGGACCACUUUGAUACUCAAUUCUUUUCCCUGAUGGUGCAGUUAAGAAUAUUUUCCACUGGGUAGCAUAGAUCACUGCCCUGUGUGCACAUAACCAUCCAUUGCCAAGAACCAAAGGAAUAUUGAGUGACUCUAGCACAAUGAGGUUUACAGUGAAGUUUUCCUUCUUUAUGACAAGAUUGAUAUUUGAGCAAACCUGAUCUGCCUGCAUUUCUCCCAUUGGGGUUUGAACUAACAAAGGCUUUCUCGUCGGACACUUCAUCCGUUCGAUUGUCUUUACCAAGUCAGCGGAAAUAAAAGAAUGUGAAGCACUUCGGUCAAACAGAGCAAAAACUAGUACUGAGUCCACUUGAAUAUAGCCUCCCACCACUUUGGUGGCUCCUUGAAUGUUAUGCAUAUCCACAUUGUUCAGUCUUCCAUUGAUAUAAUUUCGCUGUACUUUAUUUCCGAGAGCAGGCUUCUUACGAGCUUUCCUUCUACGCUUCCGUCGUUGUGGAUUUUGAUUUGAUUCGUUGUCAACUUGCUCUUCCAUAUUGUUAUUUUGAUAACACUCAGCUUUGUCAUACUCAUAGCAUCUUUCUUCAAAAUCAAGAUGAUCAUAUUCUUCCCACCUAUCCAUGAGAGGUGUCAUAUUGUGCUCCGGAUUCAUGGGACACUACACUCCCUGUCAUCAAGUGACCAACGUCAGUAACACGGUAAGGAUAGAUGAUCAUAACCAUAGAAUAUCUUAGAAGACAAUUAUCACUCCAAGCUAGUCUUAUAAUGCAUCACCCUCGAUAUCAAGGUACUACCCCCCUUAAAAAUUGGGUUGAUUGGGGACACUAGGGACUAGUUCUCCUAUCCUUUUUGGACGCCACACAUCAUAGUCUCUUACAUUCGUGGUACCGAGUCUCUUGUUCCAACAUUAUCCAAUUCUUCUCCAUAUAACCCCUUUAUUUAGGCUACCCCCCUUAAUAAAGGUCAUCUAGGGGACACAAGAAAGGUAGCUAGCAUGUUUUCCAGACAAGUUAACUAACAUUGAGAACUUAUGACAUCCCAAAGAGCUUUUGUGCAAGAGACAAACAUGUAUCCUGAAAUUUUUCCGCGAUAUGAAAAACACCAGCAUAGAAAAACAGGUAUAACUCCCAUUCUGUUAAUCCAAUAGAGUUGUAGUUUAUACCGUUAGAAAGAUUAUGAAAUUCCCUACAACUUUCCUGUAGAAGACGUCCUUAGGUUCUGUAUUUAGGCUCAGGUAAAACAGCCAAACAUAAUAUCCUUCCUGAUAAUAUCCCAGCAAGGAUGCAGUAAAUUCCAGAAAUUAUAUCUCGAGCUCCUUAACUCAUCUGGAGAUGAUCCUUAUAUUGUUGAAAAGCUUAUGAAAUCCUCUACAACUUUCGUAUACAACUCUUUCCCAGAUUCUGAAGUUAAUUCAGCCGAAAUUAGGAAAUUCCAGAUCUGUCCAGAUUUUGAAACAGAAAAGAAACAUCCAAGUUUAAAUGUCAUAUCUCAGGUUCUACUUGUCCAAUAAUGUUCCAGCUUAUACCGCUGGAAAACUUAGCAAAUUGUCUAAUACUUUUCUAUAGAACACUUUUCCAAAUUCUAUAGUUAUAUAUGUCCAAACAGUAAGCAACCGAAACUGGUCCAGAUUCUUGACAGCACAGUUGUAUCCUGUUGUGAUUUUUGUAACUUCCAAACCAUAACAGCUAUGAGGUUGAUUCUUGCGGUCUGAGAAAGAUCUUGAAGUCUAGUUGUACCCAGAAACAUUUGAUAAACUUUGCACGAUCGGACCUUUAGAUACACCAGCAUUAUUGCAAACUGCUCCAGAAAUCAGCAAGGGAUAGAAACAAGAUAUAACCAAACCCAACUACUUAUUUCAUUACUCCUUAUGCCUUAGUCCUAUGAACUAAUGAAAUUGUGAGAAAAUCCCACAAGAUCAUUGCACUCAUUACAAAGAUCCAAAUCAAGCAUAAACAUAAUAACAAACCAACUAAGCACACUUCACUCAACUUGCGAUAUUAUCGUUCUCUUUAUAGUAAGGGUAAAGAUCCUAAAAUUCUUUUUCAACUACGAAAGCAGGUGGUAAGAGAAGAUUCUAAAAGCUUAUCAAAUCAAGGAGUGAAGAUGAGAACAAGUAUACUUUUAAAAUAAGCAACAAGGUAGAGCGGAAUAGCAAGGGUAGAGAUAUAGUGUAGAGGAAAAUACCAAGGUUUAUAGAGCAAGGCUGUUAUAACAAUUUCCAAAACCUUAAGACGACCAAUUUCUAACUAGGCUUGCGUCCUACAGCCAGCAUUGCUCCGAUACCACUUUGUAAUACCCGAUUUUAAGGACAAAACCAGAUAUACACUAUAUAUGAGUUUUAGAAGUCAAUUCUCAUAUAUAGCUACAAAUAAAGGGUAAUAUCAAAAGGCAAUGCAUAAAUUAUAUAACGUACUUGGUAUAAAAGAGAUAACCUUUAAAAGCAAACAGCGGAUAGACAACUCCAACUUCGGGUAUUAACUUCUCUCUACAGGAUCCAACUGACUGGUUGACCACAAGCCCAAAACUUCUCCUGAGGUUUGGGGGAAAUGGCAAGAGUGAGUCCAUGUCGAACUCCACAAGUAUAGCAGCUAGAUUUUAUAGCUCUCACAAUCUCAUGAUCAAUAUGACAUAAAUAAUGUAAAGCAUUAAAUAAUAAAUAAUGAGCAUAUUUAACACAUAGGAAUCAUUAUCGUCGCAGCAAGAAUCCCCAAGGCCGCUCCUGACCGUGAGCUCGGCUAGUAUACUAGUUUUUAACCCUCUGCAGAGGUUGCACAUCUUUACCCAUGAGUCAUGAUUUACCCUUUCGCCCGAGGUAGCUAGUCUCUUAACCCCCUUCCUAGGGAGGUCGGCAGGGAUCACUAUGAAGUCUUUCAAAGGUUCGUCUAACAAGUUAGGGCCGCUUGGUUUCAUUAGUCAGUCCGUGUGAUUCACCCGCAGGAAUCCACGGUCUGCUAUUCCCCAACUGCGCCACAACGGGUAACCGCUAACGAGCUAGAAAAGUUACUCAUACUUAACUAAAGCCAGAGCCAUUAUAGCCCUCAUGGUUGCACUGUUGUCCCGGUUAUCACUUACAGAUAAAUCAUCAAGUGGCUAAAGAGUCAUUUUUAUCAUUUAUUACUUAACAUUAAUCUAGUCACAGGAUCAUGGUCACAGAAAUAAAAUCCAAAUGCUAUACUUGCCUUAAUCCAAAUGCUCUUGCUUAUCCUUUUGUUUCUGCUGGUCUCUCUUGUCCAAGGCUCUGAUCUUGACCACCGAAAACUGCUCUCCGACUAAACUCGAUCAUCGAUCACACAAACAAUCGGAGACAAACAUACACGAAGCAAACAAGUCUACUAUUAGAACAGUACACCAAUCAUAUAAAAACAGUAUGAAAAGUUUACAAAAUGAUUCUACGCAUCGCUACGAUUUCAUAGACGUAAAGAUCACGAAAAUCGGAAUUAAAACGGUGAAGUUAUGAAUUUUCUAAGAUUUCCUAUAGAUAAAUAAUUAAUUAAAUAGGACCACGAAAUUAAAAGUUUCAAACUGAGUAAACAAUUUUACUAACAUGUAGAGCUCAUUAAAACGAACCUAACGCAAUUUGAAUGGGUCAAAUCGGAGUUAAAAUGAACGUUUUAUGGCCUAUAGAAACUCAGUGGCAAUUUAGUAAUUACUGAAAACGUAUUCUGAGCUAAGCCGCGAUGGUUUACGCUUUCAAAACAAGAAAACGCAUUCCACGUAUACGCUUUGGACCGCGGGUUCAAAAAGCAAAAACAGGGAGGGCUCUUUAACAAAAUCUACCCCGAAGGGGUAUCUUCUAAUCUCAGCCGUAGGCCUGAGAUCUGACGGUGGAGGGCGAUCCAGGGCGCUGGGUGGUGGCCGGCGGCGAUCUCCCGCGGUGGGGCGCCAUGGCCGACGUCACGAGCUCGCCGGAGUUCAUAGAAAAACGCGCUACGGUCCACUAUUCACUAAACCGAUAGCAUGGGGAGACAGAGGGGGUCAACGCGAGCUUACCAAGAGGAUUUUGGAGACCCGGGGAAGGCUCGGAUGUGGUCGGCCACGUGAGCUAGCGGACGACGGGGCUCUGCACACGUUCGGCGGUGUUUAGGAAAACCCAGAGAUCGUGAGACGGAGGGAAAAGUGCACCUACGGCUUCGUGAUUCUGUCGCGGUGCUCGGCAAGCGCUCAAUUGCGACGGAAACGCGGCGACCAACGAGAACCUCGGCGGCGGCCAAGUUGAGCUCGGCGAGAUCCGAAAACAAGAUUGGCAACAGAUUGGGGCUCUUCUAGAUGGGGAAAAGAGUGCGGGGGAGAUCCUCGGGCUGAAAAAGGACUCGAUUCAACGAAAUUUGGUAAGAAAUCCCGAAAAGAUCGGGUUGGGGCGCUGCCUUCGUCUGGGACCAGAGUCCGGCUCGCCCACGCUCAAGGAAGAAGAAGGGAGAUGGCGCUGCCAGGUGGGCCGGAUCCGUCAGUGUCUGGAAGUGGAGGGGGAACACCGACGGGCGGGGCCCGGUCGACAGUGGAAAGAAGAGAAGGGGAGGGCGCGGGUGUACUGGGCCGUGCUGCUGUUGCCCUGCUGGGCCGUGGGGAAAGAAAUCGGCCAGGGGAAAAAGGAAAAAGGGAGUGGCGCGUUGGGUUGGGCCGAGGCCGAGGGAAGGGAGGGGCCAGGCCUUAGGGCCAAAGAUGGAGAGGGGAAAGGUUUUUUUUUUUUCCUUUUUCUUUUGUUUGUUUCCUUUUUGUUUCUCUUUUUUUUAUUUCAAAGUCUUUUCAAGGCAGUUUCAAAACAAUUCAAAAAUAUUUUGACUUUGCUCAAAAUCACACAAUAAAAUGAAAAUAAAUGCUCCAACAUGAAUGCUCAAACAAGUUGCUAAAUCCUAUAAUAAAUUUUAUUUUAAUGAAAAUAUUAUUUUUCCUAUGUUUCAUAAGCUCAAAAAAAAUUCAUAAUUAAAUCAUUUUCACCUAUUUCAAAAAGGAGUCAAUUUUAGGGUGUUACAGCAAGUAUCCACUGCAUGAAAAAAUAAAUGAUAGAUGCAAAAGUGUUACAAAAAUAUUUUUUAUAGAUUUAAAAAUUUUAUUUAGAGAGGUAACAGUUACAUUGUUCCUACAAAACUCUGUGUAGCUCGGGUAUGGUCAUUGUAGACAAGCUUCGAUAAACCAAAGUCAGCAAGUUUCGGCACCAUAUCCUUGUCUAGUAAUAUAUUGUCAGGCUUUAGAUCCAAAUGAUAAAUAGGAUUUUCCAAACCCUCAUGAAGGUAUUUCAAACC
rnacentral:lncRNA from 1 species